AUUGAACGCUGGCGGAAUGCUUUACACAUGCAAGUCGAACGGCAGCACGGACUUCGGUCUGGUGGCGAGUGGCGAACGGGUGAGUAAUGUAUCGGAACGUGCCCAGUCGUGGGGGAUAACGUAGUGAAAAUUACGCUAAUACCGCAUACGAUCUAUGGAUGAAAGCGGGGGAUCGCAAGACCUCGCGCGAUUGGAGCGGCCGAUAUCAGAGUAGGUAGUUGGUGGGGUAAAGGCCCACCAAGCCAACGAUCUGUAGCUGGUCUGAGAGGACGACCAGCCACACUGGAACUGAGACACGGUCCAGACUCCUACGGGAGGCAGCAGUGGGGAAUUUUGGACAAUGGGCGAAAGCCUGAUCCAGCCAUUCCGCGUGCAGGAUGAAGGCCCUCGGGUUGUAAACUGCUUUUGUACAGAACGAAAGGGUUUCUACUAAUACUAGGAGCUCAUGACGGUACUGUAAGAAUAAGCACCGGCUAACUACGUGCCAGCCGCCGCUGUAA
rnacentral:rRNA from 1 species